CUUGGGAUGGUGAUCAAGAGUAGACAGGGAGACAUCUGAAAGCAUAUAGUCACAACCCAUGUCACUGAUAAUUGGGUUGUGCAGAUGGAUUUGAAAUGUAUUUUGGGUAUAAGAUGUAUUUUUGGCUUGGUGGUAGACAAGUUGUAGAGUGUGGGGAAGGACAGACGAGAGAAGAGGCGAUGGGUUUCUUGCAAACCUUAAAGGAUUCCUCUCUGGCAUUCUCCAGCAAAGGGAGCCCAGAUAAAUUCUAGUGCUGAUGGAAGGUACUUCUCAACAGCUGUCGGCCUGCUCACAGACCUUUAUUGGAUGCAAAAGCAAAACAAGGUUAAACUCCAGAUUGCUUCAGUAGGCUAAAUGCCACUUCAUAAGGAAAAGGCUGGAAAUUAUACAUUCAGAAUAAGUCGAGAAAGCUGAGCCCUUUCCUGACUGAGUCCAGGUCUCAGAAACUUGCUGGAAAACCAAAGCUCCCUCUAUCCUCCCUGCCACUUCAGCCGGACAGAUGGGGAAACAAACAUGGAGCACAUAGUAAAGCCAAAGAAGUUUGUAUAUGUUAAUUUAUGUUGAUUUUCACAACAACUUGAGUAGUUUUUUUUUUUUUUCUCCAUCUCUACUUUUCAUCUGAGGAAAAAGAGAAACUGAAAGAGCUGAGGAAGGGCCCACAAGGAGUAAGAGGAGGAAAGCAGAGUUGAAUCUCGAAAAUCCACACUCUGGAUCAUGUUACUCUUAUGCAGAAAGCCUCUCAUCCAAUUUCCUGUUUCACUCAUUCCACAAGUGUUUCAAAGUUUUAGAUGUGAAAGGGCAAUAUUAAAUAUUCUCAGAACGUCAACUCUCCCCAGCAAUGCUUGGCUCUUAGUUCUGACAACUUUGUAUUCUAUACAGCAGAUCUAUUGACCCCAACUUUCAUUCCUUUGCUCCUGCCUUUUCCAUGUGACUUUAAAGUUCUUCUCACUGGAAGCAGAGGUAUUGACUUUGGUCUCAGCCAUGUGACCUGCUUUGGCCAAAGAGAUGGUUGCGUUCAUGAAGCAAGAAGAUGCAAUGAAAUGCAGUGCCUGAUUCUAUUUGCUCUCAUGCGCUCUUACCAUUACCUGGGAAGACGGUCUCCUGAGUAGGCACUUACCCUAAGCCUUGUUCCCUGACAUAAACCCAUGUGGCACAGACCUCAGCCUAAAUUGCAGUGAGAAGCCAGGCCCAGUUGACUCACAGCCUGAAGCAGAGCCACCCAGUCUAACCCAGCCAAGAUCAACCAAUAGUCCAUUGACCUGUGGACCUAUGAGCAAGAGAAAGGAUCAUACCUUCUCAGCUUCUUUGAUGAUCAGCUGGAUCAUGUGACUUGCUUUGAUCAACAAAAUGUGAAAGAAAGGGGUGAUUACCACAGCUCAGCUGUAAGAACUAGGUGUGACUCCUCCUUCACACUCUCUCCUUGGCCCCAGAACCAAGAUGGAGUGUGCUCCUUCAGCCCUGAAAUGAAGAAGAGCAAAGAGCAGAGACUCAGCUCAACUGGAACUGAUAGAUACAUGGGCAAGAAAAAAAAAAUGUUUGUUGUUAUAAAUCACUGACAUCUGGUACUGCAGCAUAAAUUAACCAGGUCAAGACAUUUUCUUUGUAACUUUAAGGGUCGCAUUAGUACCAAUGGGCAGAGGACAAAACGUAUCCUUUUAACAAAAAAAAAAAAAAAAAAAAGAAUUU